AGGGUGCAGAAAAAUAAAACCAAAGUCUUGCGCACAACGCACAAGACGCCCAGAAACAGUUAACAAAAGCAAGUAUUAAAGCAAGAAGCUUGAAUGUUCUAACCUAUUCGAAUUUCGAGUUGGUCCUCGAAGAAUUCGAAGCAGAUCAGGGUGGUGGUGAGGAAGGUGAUGUUGGCAUCCGCCACACUCUUCCAAAAGAAGCAGAGAUCCCUGUCCAAUGCACCCAUGCUAUCAGGACUUCUGGGUCUCCUGAAGCAGCUCUUGGACUCUUUGCUCCCCUUGUUUACCCAGUACAAGGGGAAGCCGUCGAGUAGGGAAGUGUCCUUGUCGUUGGGGCGCACUUGGACAAACUUUU
rnacentral:lncRNA from 1 species